rnacentral:lncRNA from 1 species
CCACAAUGCGCAGCCCAGUGACAAAAUUACGUAGCCAUAUUCCAUGAUUUGAUACUUCAUAAAACGCUAUAAAUUUCGCUGCCAUGGUGGAAGUAGCUGUGAGUGUCUGCUUAGCACUCUUCUAGAAAAUAGCACCUUUAGCAAGCAGGUAAAUAUAGCCUGAAGUGGAUCUCCUAUUAUCUUGGCAUCCUACGAAAUCGGAAUCAGAAUAACCGACGAUCUCCAACUGAUCCGAUCUCCUGUAUGUGAGCAUAUAGUCUCUUGUUCUUUGUAAAUAUCGUAUAACCCGUUUGGCUGCUUUCCAACGAUCCAUUCUCGGGUCAUUUAUAUAUCUCCCUAGCAUCCAAAUAAUGUAAGCUAUAUCCGGAUGCGCACAAACCUAAGCAUACAUCAGAUCCCUACUGCUGAAGAAUAAGGAAUCUUCUGUAUUUCUUUACUUUCUAAGUCAUUUUGGGGCAUUGACUUAAAUUGUACUUGUCUCCUUUAGCCACA